rnacentral:lncRNA from 1 species
CUGAGAUGAUGAUAAUAAUCAAAUGCAGACUAAUUUAAAGUCGGUCCAUUCAGCUUCCCCUCUUUAUUGCUGUAGAACCGGUCUGGUCCACCAUUUUUUUUUUCGUAAAACGUAGAAAUUUCAAAAUGUAUAUACAUUUUUGUAGUGAUUUUCUCCUCCCGAUUGUUAUCCCGUUAAAAUGAGACUAUUUUCGUAUAGUUUGGUCAAAUAGUGUUUUCAUAAAAUACCAUCAAAAGGGGAUUUUUUUUCUCGCAUUGAUACCCAAA